ensembl:lncRNA
GAAUAUUGUGCUAGGUUUUGGGGGGCGCAGUGAUGCGGGGAAAACAAGGACACCAGGCAUGGUACCUGCCACUGAACCCAGUUGGGUAUCAAAGGCUCACAUGCACAGAAUACAUGAGGAAGAUGACUGGCCGGCGCCCUCGGAGCUGCGGGAGGUCAGAGGCGCCGCCUGUGGCUUGGGAAGACAGCGUGGAGGAGGGGCAGAUGAUGUCAUUCUCAUUUCAUGGUCAAAGACUCCAAAACUCAGAGAGGCUGCGACCUGUGACUGACAGCUGCUCUACACCCGGGGCCAAGACUCCUAGCACAGUGCUCAUUCUGCUCACCCCUCUCACCUCCUGCAAGCCCCACGUGACCCGCUGUGUGAUGGUGUCAACAUUUCUUCCUGCCUCCUUGUCUAUGCACUAAAUUAGGGGAGGAGGGAGAGGCUAAGGUUCUCCGCUCUGUUAUUCUUGGACCAAGUCUUUGGUCAGAGGGAGGCAGUGCUUGAUAAAUGUUAAAAUGCCUCAUCAGUUCAGCCCAAUGCCCUAAGCCAGGGGAGAAGAGGCUACAGCAUGUUGUUUCUGCUUGAAAGAGGGUAAUACUGAGUGCAAGUCACCAAAGGGCUGCCUCUAAUCCCCAUGCAUGCACGUAACCAGUGCCCCAACCCAGAACUGCUCAGGACUCUCAGAAAAGAGUUUGUUGAAGAAAACACUUCUUCAAUGAGAUUGAGUGUAAUGAAAAUGCUUGAAAAUGGAAUGCAACUCCCAAGAAUGAUCGAUUGACCAGAAGCUGACCAGAAACGG